rnacentral:tRNA from 1 species
GCUCCUGUAGUGUAGUCCGGUCAAGCACUCGGGCUUCUCGAGCCUGUAACCCGGGUUCAAAUCCCGGCGGGAGCA